UGCUGGAGAUACAGCAGUGAAAACAAAGAGCAAACCCUGACCCUUGUGAAGUGAAUUGUCAGGAGCUCAGCUGAGCUGGGAGAGAGAGAGCUCUCAGAGUAGCCGGUUACAGCAACAAGCCAGAGAUAAAAGAACCGAGCCUUUAAUCACUCACGGCAAUGGUAAAAGCAAGAGCUUAAAGCAGUUUUAUGGACCCUGAAGCAGGAGGGCAGCGGCGAGAGCUUGGAGUGGACAAGUCCUGGGUGAUGAGUCAGAGUAGGGGAAUGUAUCAUCAAGGUCUCCCUCCUCCCCGCAUAAGGAGGUCUUGGCAAAGGCAUCUGAAAAGGACGUCUACCCAAGGUCUGCCAGAGACUAGCAAUGAAGACUCUGGGGCCAGGAAUGUAAACAUAGGAAAAGCAUGACUGACCGGGAGAGCCUGAGUCCUUGACUGCAACUUCCUUCAGAGACCGUGACCCACUGGCUGUGCACCAAAUGUCUCUCAGAGAGCAGCAGCUUUCUGUAUGAGGUCUGCCAGGGUCUCACUCUGUUACCCAGCCUGGAGUGCAGUAGUAUGAUUAUAGCUCCCGGCAACCUCGAACUCCUCGGCUCAGUUUCUGACAUUGGAAUUGCGGCAGUAAAGCCUUAUCACGCUAUGGUGAUCUUCAGACUAGCAUGUGAGUGGAAAUCUGGCUUUAAGUGUGGAAUCUGGACAUAAGGUCCCAGGUAGGGCUUUUUGUCUACCUC
rnacentral:lncRNA from 1 species